rnacentral:tRNA from 1 species
GGAUAUAGCUCAGUUGGUAGAGUAUUUGCCUAGCAUGCACAAGGCCCUGGGUUCAAUCCCUUGGGUUCAAUCCA